rnacentral:rRNA from 1 species
CGCGUAAGAACCUACCAAAAUUCAUGGGAAAUCGUGAAUAUUCAAAGAUUUGAUUAUCGUUUUUGAUGGGCUUGCGUAAGAUUAGAUAGUUGGUGUGGUAAAAGCAUACCAAGUCGAUGAUCUUUUACUGGUCUUAGCGGAUGGCCAGUCACACUGGGACUGAGAUACGGCCCAGACUCUAUUUGGAGGCAGCAGUGAGGAAUCUUGGACACUGAGCGCAAGCUUGAUCCAGCUAUUUCGCGUGGGUGAUGAAGGUUAUAUUGAUCGUAAAGCCCUUUCAUGAAGAUGUCAAGAUAAUGU